ensembl:lncRNA
CCCCAAUGGUAGAGGUAUUAACCAUUAACCAUGUCUUAAUAAUUAACUGGUAUUAAUCCAGUUCCAGAUGUCUCCAAAAGGGACCAGCUGCUGGACAAAUCUGAGCCUGUGAGUUUCACCUCUGUGGUAAAGUAUUUAAAAAAGGAUAAAAAUAUUGAACAGCAGCUUUGAGAGGAGGGAGAAAAUAUGGAGGGAAACAGUCAUGAAGACACCAAGCUCAGUGAAGAAGGAGGAAAAGAGAUGUUCCAGGCACCAGAGCAGGAUGUUCCCUGUGAGACUGUGAUGAAGUGUGAUGAAGAAGGUUUGAGCCCCUGCAGCCCAUGGUGUAUCAUAUCAUAUCAGAGCAGAGCAGAGCAGAGCAGAGAUCUACACUACAGUCUGUGGAGGACUCCAUGCCAGAGCAAGCACACCUGCUUUGAAGUAAACUUCAGUUUUUAGAGAUGAGCUCAUGCUGAAGCAGGGGAGGAGCAUUACAAGGAAGGAACAGUAGAGGCAAAGUGUUAUGAACUGACCACAACCCCAUUCCACUGUCCUUAUUCCCCUGAAUCAUGUAAGGCAGAAGACAUAGAAACCUCAAGAUUGAAGUUGAGCCUAAGAAGAAGAGGUGGACAGGAGAAGGAGUCACAGAAGGCUGGAACUUCUUCAAGAAGUCUGAUCUGCUUGGCUGACCAGAGAGCUUCAUUUGGAAUAGAGUGAUUAGCUCAGGAAGAAUGGGAAGGCAACAUACGAGGAAAAAUGUAGUGAUGGAAGACGAGAAUAAGGCUGAGUUACUUAAUUCUUUAUAUUCCUUCUUUCUUCAUUAGUAAUUCCAGUUGUUUCCAGGAUGUCUAGGCCCCUGAGUUGGAAGACAGUGACAGAGAGCAAGAUGAAGCACCUAUAAUCCAAUGGGAAACUUGGUGACCUCCUGCAUCAUCUGAAUGUUCAUAAGUCUAUGGGGCCAGACAGGAUUCAUCCAAAGGCUGCUGUCCUGUUUGUUGCCUGGGAGAAGAGGCCAAACCCCUCCUCAUCACAGCCUUCGUUCAGGAAAAUGGAGACUGCGGUCAUCAAUGAAGAUACUAAACAAGAUGGACACUAGUACCAAACCCUGGAGGACACCACUUGAAACAGGUUGCCAGCUGGACUUAACUCCAUUAACCACUACGUGUCGGGCAUGGCCCUCUAGCCAGUUCCUUCCCCAAAAAAGGGUAUACCUGUCCAGGCCACGGGCAGCCAGUUUUCCCAGGAGAAUGCUGUGAGAGAUUGUGUCAAAGGCUUGGCUGAAGUCUAGGUAGAGUCGAUCAACAGCUUUUCCCUCAUUUAUCAGUCUGGUCACCCAGUUGUAGAAGGAGAUGAGGUUGGUCAAGCAUGACCUGCCUUUUAUGAAGCCAUGCUGGCUGGGCCUGAUCCCCUGGACGCCAUGCACAUGCUGUGUGAUCUCACCCAAGACGAUUUGCUCCAUAACUUUCCCUGGUACUGAGGUCAGGCUGACAGGCCUGUAGUUCCCCAGAUCCUCCUUAAAGCCCUUCUUGUAGAUGGGAGUCACAUCAGCAAGCCUCUGGAACCUCUCCAGAUAACCAGGAGUGCUGGUAGAUGGCCAAGAGCAGCUCAGCAAUCAUCCCUGCCAGCUCCCUCAGUAUCCGAGGGUGCAGCCCACCUGAUCCCAUGGACUUGUGACAGUCCAGAUGGAGGAGAAACUCUCUAACUGUCUCCACCUGAAUCACCAGGGGUGUAUUCUGUAUAGCAUCCCAGACUUCCAGAUCAGGGUGUAAAGUGCCCUGAGGAUAACUGAUCUGACUAUUAAAGGCAGAUGUAAAGAAAGCACUGAGGAUCUCAGCCUCUCCUUAUCCUCAGAGGUCACAUUGCCCGCUGCAUCAAGUAAAGGAUGGAAAUUCUCCAAGGUUCUUCUGUUACAUCUAAUUUAUUUGUAGAAGUAUUUCUCUUUCACU